rnacentral:lncRNA from 1 species
UUCAACGAGCUCUUGCUCAACAGUUUCCUCCUGCUGAACCCCCGACUCCUCAAUAGCUUGCUCGUCUACUCGCAUCAAUACAAACAUACAUAAUAUAGCAAAAAUUAACAUCACACCAACCAAUAGAUCAAAAUGCAUAAUAAUAUUCUACUCUGUGUACCGAGAUCAUAGGAACAAGAACCACUAAGUUUGGAGUUAUAUUUAUUUAGUUAUGAAUUUAUGAAGUUAUCAAGUACUUGGAAUAGCAUAACUCAUGUCAAUAUUUUUAGUUCAAGUUUCAUGGCUAAACAAAGUUACUAGUUGACAGACAAUAUUAAUACAAAAUUAUUGCAACUAGAAUGACUCAAUUUGUGGUUAAAAUGAAUUUAAUAUGAAUUAUACAAGUUUCUGGAAUUGUUUUUAAACUAAAAAUCUAUUUUCUAAUUUCUUUUUCACUAUUUUACUGUUCUCUGGACGGCGCAUCAAAUUCUAUAAAGUGCAGGGGCUAUCCCAUAAAUAUUCCUAGACUCAACGAAUAAUGAAUGCGGACGGCGGGUUGGUUUCCUAGAAUCUCAGGGACUAUUUAGCAAAAACGACACAAUUAAGGGGUAUCUCUAAUUAUCGGUCGUAUGAUCCAGAACUAAGGGCCCAGAUUAGAUCUGGUGCAUGCCAAUCCUGCGAGUAAUCCAAACCGUCUGAUCAGAGAUCCGCGACCCGGAUUUAAUUUUACCACGGUCUUUUCGCGUCCAUCCGACCAGGAUCCAAUGGCACAGAAUCAUUUGACCGAAACACUACUGAUGUUACGAUCCUAACCGACGAUCGCUCAUCCAAUGGCCAGAAACUUUUCCCCCAACUCCGAUCAGACCACGACGGCGUACAGGGUUGCCAGCGGCGGUGCCAUCGCCGGCGGUGCUCGAUUCCGCCAUUCUCGCCCCAUUCACUAAUUGAACACGUGCUACCGCACUACUAUACCAUGGCGGAACUGGAGAAGAUGUUCUCACCGUCAAUUGACAGGGCGAAGAGGUUAGUUUGCAGUGGUCGAAGGCGUCGCAACGACGGAGAGCUCCCUUGAAUGCGGUAGUUGAUGACGUUGGUCACUGUUGCGCACCGAGGUUCGGCUGAUGAAGUCCAGUAGCCUGCGCCAAAUCUCCACGGGUCCAGCAACCCUCUCUCCCUCUCGGCACAACACACGGUUCAUCUCUCCCUACGGUGUGACGAUGAUGGCGACAGAAGUCACAAGGUUCUCGG